CCUACGGGUGGCUGCAGUGGGGAAUAUUGCACAAUGGGGGGAACCCUGAUGCAGCGACGCCGCGUGAGUGAAGAAGUAUUUCAGUAUGUAAAGCUCUAUCAGCAGGGAAGAAAAUGACGGUACCUGACUAAGAAGCCCCGGCUAACUACGUGCCAGCAGCCGCGGUAAUACGUAGGGGGCAAGCGUUAUCCGGAUUUACUGGGUGUAAAGGGAGCGCAGACGGCUGUGCAAGUCUGGAGUGAAAGGCGGGGGCGCAACCCCCGGACUGCUCUGGAAACUGUAAAGCUGGAGUGCAGGAGAGGUAAGCGGAAUUCCUAGUGUAGCGGUGAAAUGCAUAGAUAUUAGGAGGAACACCAGUGGCGAAGGCGGCUUACUGGACUGCAACUGACGUUGAGGCUCGAAAGCGUGGGGAGCAAACAGGAUUAGAUACCCCUGUAGUC
rnacentral:rRNA from 1 species